AAGAGGUCCAGCCUGCCCAGUGACUCUGUUCAACGGCCGCGGUAUCCUAACCGUGCGAAGGUAGCGUAAUCACUUGUCCUUUAAAUAAGGACUAGUAUGAACGGCACCACGAGGGUUAUACUGUCUCCUUUUUCCAAUCAGUAAACCUAAUCUCCCCGUGAAGAAGCGGGGAUAAAACUAUAAGACGAGAAGACCCUAUGGAGCUUUAAACUAAGUAACAACUGCUUAUUCAUCACACAUUUCAGAAUGCUAACACUUAUUCUAGCCAUAUGUUUACUGGUUUUAGGUUGGGGUGACCACGGAGUAUAAAACAACCUCCAUAUUGAAUGGAAUUUAAUUCCUGAGUUAAGGGUUACAGCCCUAAACACCUACAAAUUGACAUUAAUUGACCCAAUAUUUUGACCAACGAACCAAGUUACCCUAGGGAUAACAGCGCAAUCCGCUUAAAGAGCUCCUAUCGACAAGCGGGUUUACGACCUCGAUGUUGGAUCAGGGUGUCCCAGUGGUGCAGCCGCUACUAAAGGUUCGUUUGUUCAACGAUUAAAACCCU
rnacentral:rRNA from 1 species